CAUGCUAGAGCACUUUUUCAAUGUGCUCCCCAACGACAAGGCCAAGACGAAUUCGUAUGUCAAUCCAUAUCAACUUUCGAUGUCAUUUACUGCGCCUACCAUGGUGACCACGGGUAAUGGGGAAUCACGGUUCGAUUCCGUACAGGGGCCCUGACAAACGGCUACCACAUGCAAGGAAGGCAG